UAGCAUGAAGUCAGACAAGCGA
rnacentral:rRNA from 4 species